AUUGAACGCUGGCGGCAUGCCUUACACAUGCAAGUCGAACGGCAGCAUAGGAGCUUGCUCCUGAUGGCGAGUGGCGAACGGGUGAGUAAUAUAUCGGAACGUGCCCUAGAGUGGGGGAUAACUAGUCGAAAGAUUAGCUAAUACCGCAUACGAUCUAAGGAUGAAAGUGGGGGAUCGCAAGACCUCAUGCUCGUGGAGCGGCCGAUAUCUGAUUAGCUAGUUGGUGGGGUAAAAGCUCACCAAGGCGACGAUCAGUAGCUGGUCUGAGAGGACGACCAGCCACACUGGGACUGAGACACGGCCCAGACUCCUACGGGAGGCAGCAGUGGGGAAUUUUGGACAAUGGGGGCAACCCUGAUCCAGCAAUGCCGCGUGAGUGAAGAGGGCCUUCGGGUUGUAAAGCUCUUUUGUCAGGGAAGAAACGGUGAGAGCUAAUAUCUCUUGCUAAUGACGGUACCUGAAGAAUAAGCACCGGCUAACUACGUGCCAGCCGCCGCAGUAA
rnacentral:rRNA from 1 species